rnacentral:rRNA from 1 species
ACGAACGCUGGCGGCAGGCUUAACACAUGCAACUCGAGCGCCCCGCAAGGGGAGCGGCAGCCGGGUGAGUAACGCGUGGGAACGUACCUUUUGGUUCGGAACAACUCCGGGAAACUGGAGCUAAUACCGGAUAAGCCCUAACGGGGAAAGAUUUAUCGCCGAAAGAUCGGCCCGCGUCUGAUUAGCUAGUUGGUGAGGUAACGGCUCACCAAGGCGACGAUCAGUAGCUGGUCUGAGAGGAUGAUCAGCCACACUGGGACUGAGACACGGCCCAGACUCCUACGGGAGGCAGCAGUGGGGAAUAUUGGACAAUGGGCGCAAGCCUGAUCCAGCCAUGCCGCGUGAGUGAUGAAGGCCUUAGGGUUGUAAAGCUCUUUUGUCCGGGAAGAUAAUGACUGUACCGGAAGAAUAAGCCCCGGCUAACUUCGUG